rnacentral:rRNA from 1 species
GACGAACGCUGGCGGCGUGCUUAACACAUGCAAGUCGAACGGAAAGGCCCUGCUUUUGUGGGGUGCUCGAGUGGCGAACGGGUGAGUAACACGUGAGUAACCUGCCCUUGACUUAGGGAUAACUUCAGGAAACUGGGGCUCAUACCGGAUAGGAGCUCCUGCUGCAUGGUGGGGGUUGGAGAGUUUCGGCGGUUGGGGAUGGAAUCGCGGCUUAUCCGCUUGUUGGUGGGGUAGUGGCUUACCAAGGCUUUGACGGGUAGCCGGCCUGAGAGGGUGACCGGCGACAUUGGUCCUGAGAUACGGACCAGACGCCUACGGGAGGCAGCAGUGGGGAAUAUUGCACAAUGGGCGGAAGCCUGAUGCAGCAACGUCGCGUGCGGGAUGACGUCCUACGGGUUGUAAACCGCUUUCGCCGGUGACGAAGCGGGAUUGACGGUAAUGGGUAAAGAAGCACCGGCUAACUACGUG